rnacentral:rRNA from 1 species
UACGAAGGGGGCUAGCGUUGUUCGGAAUUACUGGGCGUAAAGGGCGCGUAGGCGGUGUGUCAAGUCAGGCGUGAAAGCCCCCGGGCUCAACCUGGGAACAGCGCUUGAGACUGGCACGCUCGAGUUCGGGAGAGGAUGGUGGAAUUCCCAGUGUAGAGGUGAAAUUCGUAGAUAUUUGGGAAGAACACCGAUGGCGAAGGCAGCCAUCUGGACCGACACUGACGCUGAGGCGCGAAAGCGUGGGGGAGCAAACAGG